rnacentral:rRNA from 1 species
GAGUUUGAUCAUGGCUCAGGACGAACGCUGGCGGCGUGCUUAACACAUGCAAGUCGAACGGUAAGGCUCCAGCUUGCUGGGGUACACGAGUGGCGAACGGGUGAGUAACACGUGGGUGACCUGCCCUGCACUUCGGGGAUAAGCCUGGGAAACUGGGUCUAAUACCGGAUAGGACCGCACCGUGAGGGUGUGGUGGAAAGUUUUUUCGGUGUGGGAUGGGCCCGCGGCCUAUCAGCUUGUUGGUGGGGUAAUGGCCUACCAAGGCGGCGACGGGUAGCCGGCCUGAGAGGGUGGACGGCCACAUUGGGACUGAGACACGGCCCAGACUCCUACGGGAGGCAGCAGUGGGGAAUAUUGCACAAUGGGCGGAAGCCUGAUGCAGCGACGCCGCGUGGGGGA